GGCGGACGGGUGAGUAACACGUGGGUAACCUGCCCAUAAGACUGGGAUAACUCCGGGAAACCGGGGCUAAUACCGGAUAACAUUUUGAACCGCAUGGUUCGAAAUUGAAAGGCGGCUUCGGCUGUCACUUAUGGAUGGACCCGCGUCGCAUUAGCUAGUUGGUGAGGUAACGGCUCACCAAGGCAACGAUGCGUAGCCGACCUGGGAGGGUGAUCGGCCACACUGGGACUGAGACACGGCCCAGACUCCUACGGGAGGCAGCAGUAGGGAAUCUUCCGCAAUGGACGAAAGUCUGACGGAGCAACGCCGCGUGAGUGAUGAAGGCUUUCGGGUCGUAAAACUCUGUUGUUAGGGAAGAACAAGUGCUAGUUGAAUAAGCUGGCACCUUGACGGUACCUAACCAGAAAGCCACGGCUAACUACGUGCCAGCAGCCGCGG
rnacentral:rRNA from 1 species